rnacentral:rRNA from 1 species
AGUGAACGCUGGCGAUAGGCCUAACACAUGCAAGUCGAACGGCAGCACAGUAAGAGCUUGCUCUUACGGGUGGCGAGUGGCGGACGGGUGAGGAAUACAUCGGAAUCUACUUUUUCGUGGGGGAUAACGUAGGGAAACUUACGCUAAUACCGCAUACGACCUACGGGUGAAAGCAGGGGAUCUUCGGACCUUGCGCGAUUGAAUGAGCCGAUGUCGGAUUAGCUAGUUGGCGGGGUAAAGGCCCACCAAGGCGACGAUCCGUAGCUGGUCUGAGAGGAUGAUCAGCCACACUGGAACUGAGACACGGUCCAGACUCCUACGGGAGGCAGCAGUGGGGAAUAUUGGACAAAGGGCGCAAGCCUGAUCCAGCCAUACCGCGUGGGUGAAGAAGGCCUUCGGGUUGUAAAGCCCUUUUGUUGGGAAAGAAAAGCAGCAGGUUAAUACCCCGCUGUUCUGACGGUACCCAAAGAAUAAGCUCCGGCUAACUUCGUG